UACCAGCUCUCCGAGUGGUGUGGAUGUUUAUUGGGCCUAAAGCAUCCGUAGCUGGCUGAGUUAGUCCCCUGUUAAAUCCACCGAAUCAAUCGUUGGAUUGCGGGGGAUACUGCUCGGCUAGGGGACGGGAGAGGCAGACGGUAUUUCCGGGGUAAGGGUGAAAUCUUAUAAUCCCGGGAAGACCACCAGUGGCGAAGGCUGUCUGCUAGAACGCGCCCGACGGUGAGGGAUGAAAGCUGGGGUAGCGAACCGG
rnacentral:rRNA from 1 species